rnacentral:rRNA from 1 species
GGGGGUAAAAUUAAUAAAUAUAAUAAAAAUAAUAAAAAAAAUUUUAGUUAAAAAUAUAUAAUGGGGGUUAAAGUAUUUUUAAUGGAAAAAAUUAAUAGAUUUAUAGUAUAAUAGUAUUGUAAAAGAAAUUUUAAAUAAAUUAAAUAUAAAAAAUUAAAAUAAAGUAAAUUUAAAUUAUUGUAUCUUGUGUAUCAGAGUUUAUUAAAUAAAAAUUUUUAUUUAAAAAAUUCUCGAAUUUAAAAGAGUUAAUUAAUUAAAAAAGUUAAUGUUGAAUAAUUAUUUUAAAUAAUUAAUUAGAAAUGAAAUGUUAAUCGUUUUUAAAUAUAUCUAGUUUUUUUAGAAAAAAAUUUAAUUUUGAAAUUAAAUAAUUUUAUAAUUAAUUAAUUAAUUAUUAAAAAUUCAAGAUUUAAUAUAUUAAGGGAUAAGCUUUAAAUUAAAAAAUUAUAAUUAUUAAUUAUUAAUUAAAAUUUUUAAAAUUUAUAUUGUUUAGAAAUUAUAAUUUAUUAUAAAAAAUUUUAAUUAAAUUAAAAUUUAAAAAUAAAAUUUAAUUUUUUAUAAAAAAAUUAUUUUUAAUAAUAAAGAAUUAGAAAUAAUGAUAAAAUUAGUAUAUUAUAAAUUAAAAAUUAUAAAUUUAAUAAAAAUUAAAUUAAAGGAAUUCGGCAAAAAUUUAUAUUCACUUGUUUAUCAAAAACAUGUCUUUUUGGUUAUAAUUUAAAGUCUAAUCUGCCCACUGAUAAUAAUUAAAGGGCUGCAGUAUAUUGACUGUACAAAGGUAGCAUAAUCAUUAGUCUUUUAAUUGAAGACUUGUAUGAAAGAUUUAAUGAAAUAUAAGCUGUCUCUAAUUUAUUAAUAAAAUUUAAUAUUUUAGUUAAAAAGCUAAAAUAAAAUUAAAAGACGAGAAGACCCUAUAGAGUUUUAUAUUUAAUUUAAUUAAAAUAAAAUAUAAAAUUAAGUUAUUUAAAUUAAAUUAAUUAUUAUAUUGGGGUGAUAAAAAAAUUAAAAAAACUUUUUUUUUUAUUAAACAUAAAUAAAUGAUUAAAUGAUCCAUAAUUUAUGAUUAUAAGAAAAAAUUACCUUAGGGAUAACAGCGUAAUAUUUUUUUUUAGUACGUAUAAGAAAAAAAGUUUGCGACCUCGAUGUUGGAUUAAGAUAAAAGUUAAAUGCAAAAGUUUAAAUUUUUGAUCUGUUCGAUCAUUAAAAUCUUACAUGAUCUGAGUUCAAACCGGUGUAAGCCAGGUUGGUUUCUAUCUUUAAUAAAUUAUAAUAUUUUA